rnacentral:lncRNA from 1 species
UUUAAAGUGUCGUAGUUGUUGGUUUUUAUUUCAGCUUAUUCAUACCCUAUCCUAUGCCUUUGGUAAUUUUUAUGUUACUGCAAAUUAGUUUGGGCCAUUACGGCAAUGUUACUUAUCUUCUACAAAAGGAAUAUAUCAAGCAAUAAGGAUUUUUAAUUUUUAUUAUUGAGAAAUAUAAUAGGAACAAUAAAUUAUCUCCAGCUAUCUCUGUUUUAAGCAUUGGAAAAGAUUUUGAAGAAUAUGGGUGUUGCUGCUGUUGAACUGUUGUUUAAACAUUAUUUCUCACACUGUGGCUAAUGGAUUUAAUUAUGGUUCACACUCUUGUUUCUUUAUCAUCUCUUCAGAUGGGGAGCUAUACAGAAACAUUGUAAACCACUACGAGAACAUGUUAUUAGGCUGUCUCUGCUGAUGAAGGGCCAAGGAAAGAAAUCAGAGCUCCUGGUUCCUUAAAGUUUACUGGCACGGUCUCUGAUCCGGGUAUCACUUGGAAAGCUGUGAAUCAAGUGUAAUCGAUUAGCAUCCAUCCACUCGCCUAUUUAAUGAACUACCUCAUGCUUUAAAGAAAGAUUGGAGAAUGAAGACAGAUUCUCUAAAUGUCUUACAAGAAGGAAAUCCUUGAAGAUUUUGCAAUCACUAAAAAGUGUACAGAGCUGCUGCAAAUAAUAUAUGCUUUUCAUUCAUUCUCUGUGUCAAAUCUCCAAGAAAGGUGGCAUCCCAGGGCCAGGAGACCAGACUUUCAAGAGCCUGGAAUCUGUUCUCAGGGUCUGAGAGUCUUUCCCACGUUCUUCACCAGCAGCGCUUCUGGAGAGCACAAAAGGUCGACUGGGCCAAAUCAUGUCUGCAAGGCUUGUUUCCUCCUGUCUGCACGUCUGAGGAGAGGAAGAAACAAGCCAUCUCUGGGCCCACUCCAUGUGAGUUUCCUCUGCCUUCACCUUGAGGAUGCACCUGCUAGGAAUGAAAAAUCAAUCUGA